rnacentral:rRNA from 1 species
UGGGGAAUAUUGGACAAUGGGCGAAAGCCUGAUCCAGCCAUGCCGCGUGUGUGAAGAAGGUCUUCGGAUUGUAAAGCACUUUAAGUUGGGAGGAAGGGCAGUAAGCGAAUACCUUGCUGUUUUGACGUUACCGACAGAAUAAGCACCGGCUAACUCUGUGCCAGCAGCCGCGGUAAUACAGAGGGUGCGAGCGUUAAUCGGAUUUACUGGGCGUAAAGCGUGCGUAGGCGGCUAAUUGAGUCGGAUGUGAAAUCCCCGAGCUUAACUUGGGAAUUGCAUUCGAUACUGGUUAGCUAGAGUGUGGGAGAGGCUGGGAGAAUUCCAGGUGGAGCGGUGAAAUGCGUAGCGAUCUGGAGGAAUACCGAUGGCGAAGGCAGCCAUCUGGCCUAACACUGACGCUGAGGUACGAAAGCAUGGGGAUCAAACAGG